rnacentral:rRNA from 1 species
CACGUACUGUGCGAACGUUAUUCGGAAUCACUGGGCUUAAAGGGUAUGUAGGCGGUUAAUCAAGUCAGAUGUGAAAUGCCACAGCUCAACUGUGGCACUGCGUUUGAAACUGAUUGGCUAGAGUAUUCCAGAGGUAUGCGGAACUGCCAGUGGAGCGGUGAAAUGCGUUGAUAUUGGCAGGAACACCAGAGGCGAAGGCGGCAUACUGGGGGAUAACUGACGCUGAGAUACGAAAGCCAGGGUAGCGAACGGG